UUUUUUUUUUUUUUUUUUUUUUUUUUUUUACUUCAAAUGAAACUAUCAGAUACUCCAAGGAUUGGUGACAGUCUAGAAUAUUUUGGGUUGGCCCAUUUUGACUAUUCAGACAAAGGGUCAGCUGUUAUUAGAGACAAUUUUUUGCAUUGACAUCUUGAGGCCCACAGGAAAAUUUGAUCUUCUUAUUUCCCAGUUCUGGUCUGAAGUAUAGUGCUGGACCAUGAAGUUAACAUAUUAGGUCUCCAGAGUCAGAUAAUUUAUAAAGGUUCUUUAAAAGAUGGAUGAUAAGAGUGCACAGUUCUCUGUGAGAAGUUUUGAUGGUUGGUGGUGGCACACUGGCCACGCCACUUUGGGGAUGGUUGUCUCUCCCCACAGGUGAUGUGUGUAAGGCACAGCAAAGAGCAAGAUUAGCAUGCUGUGCUGCAAGAGCAGAAAGCUGUUUUUAAAAUUGCCAUAAGUGUUUUCUCUUGGCCACUCUGAUUGCCUAGGUAAAGUGUAACUAACUGGUAAAGUUUGCUGGAGAAUUUACUUGUCUCAAUGUCCAAUAUUUAAUUUUCAUUGUUUGUCUAUGGGGUGGUGGUUUAUCUUGCUUAAAAAUCCUAAGUGCUUUAUUCUACAAAAACUGGUGACAAGUUGCAGACUGUAUCUUUUUUUUUUUUGUUUAACAGAAUUAUUUUAUAAUUGCAUCUGGUAAAGAAAAUAUUAUAUAACUAGCUCCAAACAAUUUUUUUGGCCAUUGUACAGAAAAGGACUUACUCAUCUUAAACUAUAAAAAAAAUCAUCUGGGCAGACAAACUUGCCUGCCAAGUUUUAGGUGGCUAGGAUCCAGAGUGGCUGAGACAUUAAAUGUGAAAUCUAAGUUCCUACACUUGAAAUGCCAAACUACAACAUCAGGCCCCUGAUGCUAUAACUUUUAAGAGAACUAAGUGGUGUAAAACUGUGCAUAAUUAUUUCACUCAUGAACAAAAAACCUAUUACUCAUAAGCAGAGUUUUAGGUAAGUUAUAAGGAUAUUUCUUGAGAAACAUAUGCCAAUCAUUCGACCAAACAAGGCUGUGCUUUGCAAUUAUAUGUUACAAUUUUUUGGAUUUGCUGGCUAGUGCAAAUCAACAGAUUUUGAAAGUCUAUUGGUUAUGGCCUCAAGAGGUACUUCAUAACCUUUUAUUUUUUUACAUUAAAUCCAUUAGGGUAUCACAGGCUAAAUAAAAAUUAUCUUCGACCAUCAUUUUUUUCUUUAUUUCUCUCUUUAUCUUGCUUAUAUGUAGUACAGUACCUGGCAGAGUACCAAGGGUUAAAACUCAGCUUUCUCUGAUGUUGGUGUACUAGCAGCUUAAAUAGCAGUUUUCCUGCCAAUUUAAACUUUUACUUUUUAAUGAAGAAUUUAAACCAGAAAAGUUAAGCAUUCCUUGGGCUUGCUCUUUAGUAGGAAGUAAGUUUGAAUUGGCACUGUGAUUACUAAAGCUCUUCUUUUAAAUCUUAUUGAACCAAAACUAAAAAUUCUGUUUAAAUCCUUGUAGUCAUCUAAAAACAUAAAAUACCAAAAGACCAAUAAACAAAAUAAAAAAAAAUCUAAACAAAUAUAUUUUACAACUUGGAUUUUAGAGAAACAAGCUGCUCUUUCAUUUCUUAUUUAUUAAUUUUAAAUAAAAUCAUUCAGCCCUACCUCAUAAGAGAUAUUUGUCCUUUGUGGGUGAUCUUAAAUUUCUCUCAAAAUAUACAGCUACAUAAAAUAUACACAGAACAUUUUAUUCCUAUACCUGCUCCAUCAUAGGAAGAUUAUUUCCAGCCCCUGAAAUAACUUUGCAAACUUCUGGGGUUUCUGUAUAUUUUAUAUUGAUGGGGCCCAGAAGAAGCUGUGCUUGGUUCUAAUACAUCUCCAUGAGCUGACUUUGUUUACUGCUCUCAGAAGUGGAAGAGAAGGCACAAGAAACUUUGUAAAGCUCUGGAGCAACACGUGGAGAAGCUUGCCUUCAUUCUUCUCUCCUUCCAUACAAACACUAAGUUUUCUGUGCAUGGGUUUGGACCAAAUGACUGAAACAGUCUGUGGCUCAAGACUAUCAUUAGAAGUUUGGAUCUUUCAGGUGCUUAAGUGGCUGUCAUCUAUGUGACUAAUUCUGAGUCUGUUACGGAAGUUGUAGUGUUAUCUGCCCAUGGAUCUGUUAUGGUGUUGCCUACUGCAAAUGAGCUGUCCUAGCUAGUAAACACCUUGGUCCAGCUAAUCCAGGAGCAGAUGGCUGAGGCUGUGGUUAUCUUGAGGCACUGGGCUUUAUCAUGUUGCAGACAACAGCCGGAGGCCAGGUGCCUCAAACAGGAAAUAGAUUUAGAUACUCCAGAACCUUGAGGAUUUGUUCUAUUCAAGCUACUCAAGGAUCAUACUUAAACACAUGCUUAUAUACUUAACUGUCCUUGAUGAUGCUAGUCAUAUCACCUAAAAACAGACUUAAUUUUAAAAGUAGUGAAUUUUAUAACUCUCAUUUCUUUAUGUUACAGGGAUCAGCGCUUCAAACAAGAUGGCAUUCUUGCUCAACUCUUUGUUUCCCUUCUAUGAGAUGAAGAACUAGGGAUAUGCUGACCCUGGAAUCACGUCUGCAAAGUGUUUGGAGUUGUUUGGGAACAAGGCUGAAGAAAAUGGAGAAAUAUUAUUAGAUUAUGUUUAUUUUUUCCAGAUUUUUUAAAAAAAAUAUUUUCAAUACCUCUGCUAGUGAAGAUGUAAGAGUGUUGUUGAUGGUUCCACACACCUUUUUGUGGGAAGACUUGUAGUUCAUAAAAAGAAAAAAAAAUGGAGGAGAACAUAACUGUUCUUGAAGGUGGUGAAUGGUGUGGGGAAGAUGGAUAUGAGGAGUGGCAGAGGUCACUUGGUUUGUUCAGCCUGGGGAGACUGAGGGAUGAAUCGACAGCUUCCUCCCAAGGCAAAACAGACAGGCAGGCACUGGUCUGUUCUCUUUGUUGACCAGUGACAGGACUCGAGGAAAGGAAAUGAAACUGUGUCAGAGGAGGUUUAGGUUGGAUAUUAAGAAAAUGUUCUUCUCCCAGAUGGUGGCUGGGCACUGGAACAGUCACUCCAGGGAAGUGGUCACAGCACCAAGCCUCACAGACUUCAAGAAGUGUUUGGACAACAUUUUCAGAUACAUGGUGGGAUUCUUAGAGUUGUCCUGUGCAGGGCCAGGAGUUGGACUCUGUGAUGCUUUUGGGUCCUUUCCAGAUAUUGAUUCAUUCUGUGAUUCACUGAUGACAGCAAGAUAACUGCAGCAUCAUCUAAACUAACCCAGAAAAUCACCCACACGUCCCUUAGUGCUCAGUCUUCACUGGAGCCAUGUCUCCUAAUUAACAUCUGCAGUGAUUACCAGAUAUUCUGAAUUAAAUUGUAUACAGGCUAAUUUUCAAAUUGUGUAUUAUUAUCAGACACUUCCUGUGUUGAAAUUGUUGUCUGGACAUACUUCACAAUCAAAGCAUUGUGUAGCACUAGGUACAUUUCUUUAUAUAAAAAAACAGAGAGAAGCUCUUGAGCUGCAUGAGAUGGAGUGAAAUUGCCUUAGUGAGACAGAAUCUGAGUUUUGACUCCCUAGCUGUCAUGAAAGUCAAACACAAUGAAUCAUCUGAGGAAGAGCUGGAGAAUUUGGAACAAAUAGAUUCUCUGAAGAAGGUAUAAAUAGAGCUUUAUGCUGUUUAUGUUCUCUGAAGAGCUAGGAGGGCCUCUUCCCUUCAAAUUUGCCAUGCUAUUAGGAGCACAAAGUGCCCUUUUUGGGGUGAGAACAUAGAAAUUUCAUUUUUCAGGAGUGAACGCUUAGCGCAAUCAGCACUUGAGAACAAGGCUGAAUGCUCCAAACUAUGAAAGCCCUCACAGAACAUGACUCUCCAUAUAGAACCCUGAGAUCUUUAUGAAUAUGUAACUUGAUAACAUCAGGUAUCUAUGCAGGUAUAUGCAGGGAUGUAUAGCUAUUCUGCAAAGAACUGCUUCUCUGCUUCAGUCUCCGUUGACAUUUCUUUUUGCCUGUGAAUGAAUUAAGCACAAGACUGAUCACAUAAUGUGGACUAUGAACUCGAUGUUCAAAGUCAAGAUGAAGAGUUCAAGAGCAAGUUGAAAUAUUUGCUGAAGCAUUUUUGUCAGCCAAACCCUGUAAUAUACUUACAGACUUACACCCCAAGGGAAGAACCAUUGCAUACUUAAGAUCAUAACAGAAAGAGAAGGAAAUGUAGUAAGAACAUUUCUGUAUUAAAGUAAUUUCACUGCUGUAUAAUUUUCUAACCAAAAUGACAUCCAAAGACUUCCAAGAUAACCAUGUCUCUAAAAUAGCUUUUCUUCUGAAAUUUUCAUUUGCAUUUAAUCUGUGGUGCUGUGAAGAAAAAGAGAACACAGCUGUCAUUUGAGGGUUCACACCCCUUAUCAUGAACUGCAUUGAUACCUGUGGCUAGCUUGGCUGUUUCCCUACUAAUCCACGAGAAAACUAAGCUUGGCCAGUCUUCUGCUCAGCAUGGUUUGUUCCCUCUACCUUUUCCAUGCUGCCUUAAAAUUCCUGACUGAUGUAAAUCUGGGUUCCCACAAAUCUGAAUGGGAGUAAAGAGGCAAGGAGGGAAUGGCAAACCAGCCACGAAUACUGUUGUCUAUGGCUAUAGACAUAUAGACGUAUCCACAGAGCAGGUGGCUUAUACUGUGGAUGCCUUUGUGUGUCCUCAUGCAGAUUACUUGGUAGCACAUGACUAAACCUUGAGUGCCAAUACAUGACUCCAGAGACAUUUCCUCAGUUUAUGGGGUGAGGGAAAAAAGCAGAAAUUAUAUUUCAGAACAUAUUAGAUAUUUCUGAAAUACUUGAUGGUACAUAUACUGGGUGUUUAGUACAUGCUUUAUACCUCAAAGUAUUCAUGCAUGUAUAUUUACUUUUAUAAUUUAUAGACCAGUUACAACACCAAGCUCUCUUCCAGAUGUCAAGAAUAAAAUUAUAUUUCACAGCUACUUUUACAACUGAUAGUAAAUCUUGAAGAUGGUACAAGUACUGUGAAAGUCAUCUGACCUUGAGCAAGAAGAAAACCCCACUGGAAGACUUCUAUCUCAGAGAUAAUCAAGGUGUGCCUGCAAAUGGUUGCUUAUUUGCAGCCAGAGACUUUGGUUCUGCACUAUUUUCCUUUUUAAAAUGAAAGGUGCAAGUUUAACCCAAAAUUCUCAAAGCCAAAAAUACUUUCUUUCAAAACCAGUUGACCAAAUUGUGAGGCUGACAGUUUUUGGAAAGUUUCAUGAUAGUUCUCCAAGAAAUGUACACAUCAGCAUUAAGCAGGCACAUCUUAAUAAAAGGCAAACAUCAGGAGGAACACCAGUAUUGUAUUAUGAAGCUUACAUUAUAUCAUAUGCUUGUGUUGCCUAAAAAUGUUCCACAUGGCUCUUUCACUUGUCCCAAUGACCCUUUAAGGAGCCAGAAGAUUCUGCCAGUAAAAAAGAAGCCAGUUAAGAGUAUCAGAAACCAAAUGUUAGGACUAAAGUUAGGAGAAACCAUCAAAAUCACCUAUGGUGUUUAGUCCACAUUAUACAAGGAAUUUUUCCAAGCCUAUGUUAUAGUGUCAAUGAAUAAUUGUAAAUAUUAAAGAGACAUGGAUACAGUGAAAAUAAUUUUGGAAACUUUUCCUUGUAUUGCAGCUCAUGGCUGGGAAAUUUUCUGAGCAGAAGGCAGUAUGUACACCACAAUGGUUAACAGAUUUCAUGGUCAUUCAUAUCAACAGUUUCAACCAUUCACUGAAUAGGAGAAUAUAUAUUGUUGUCUUUUAAAUUUCCUUUUGAUUUUUUCCAUUCUUGUCAUACAAUUCAUGGUCAUCAAUUGCCCUGUAUUAGCUUUCACCAUGCCAUUUGUGACACGGAGUAUCCUCUUCCUCUGCAACUGCUCUUCACUGUCCUGCUUCAGCUAUAUGGAAUUGUUCCAUACCUGUGGAGCAUCACCUUUUAUGUAACUAUUCUUGUCCUAUUUUAGCCUUUUUGGGGCAGGGCUGCACACACUCUAGAUAAAAUAAUGACAGAUUCAUACAGUGGAAUAAAGAUAAUGUUUUCUGAAGGUCAUGAAAAAGGGCAAAACACUGAUUGCUCCGUGGAGCAAAAAAAGAACUAUUUCCACAGAUAGAAAUACUCAUUAUAAUCUCUCCUUCCAAAAUAUCAGUAAGUAGAAAACCUUAUUACAAAAAAGAAUAUUCACCUGAUAAAAGAAAAAAACACCAGGCAUCAAAAACAAUAUACAAGCCUACAGUGAAAGCAUAGGAAAAGCUGUGAUAUAAACCCUCAAAUAGUCCUAAAAUCACACAGUUCCACAUUAAUUUCUCAAAAUUUCCAUAGGAGCAACACAGCCUCUGAUGCAAAACAUUUACCUUCAUCUUCCAUCAAAUUCAAUAGCUUAUGUUUAGUAGUAAAUUCAUGAGAGUUUCAAGCAUUCAACCUCUGGAAAAUAUUUGGCCCAUUCUAGAACUUAACCCUGAAAACAGUAAAGUGAGCAAAUGAAUCCCUUUAAAAGAGGUUUUCAAACCUCUAAAGGCAACCAUGUGGGUCUCUUAUGUCAAUGCAUCGUUUCUAUAAUCCACUGUCCAGCUACAGCAGCUCAACUCUGAAGUGGUGAUGUAAGCUAAAACCCUAUAAUGCUCUUAUUCAGUGAUAGAAAAUCUUCAAUAAACUGAGCUUUCCAAAAUAUCAAGGGGACAACGUAUUCUUCCUAGAAAUUAAAAGUUGUAUUUUUCAUACAAUAAUUAAGUGAGAUAAGUAUGUUGCAAAACAACCGAGUCCAAAGAUACCUUCCUGUCAUCUCAGACACUUCCCAAUCCUCUGGAGCUUUAUUGUUGUGUUUAUUGUGAUGUCACAGGAUUCUCUGGAUGUGUGACCUUACUGGUAUAUGCUGCCCACGUCUACCUGUGCUGCUCUCUUCCUUUCUCUUUAUCCCCAGUGCUAAGACUAACUUUCAACAAUAAAAUGAAAUAUUUUGAUUUAUGACAAAAAGGUUAGUUAGAAAAGUCAGAUACUAAAUUGUUCAGUGGAACCUUUAUCCUUUGAUUAUGCAGUUGGCUGAGCAUAAGCAUUUUGAUAUACUUUAUUCCAAUUUAACUCCCUAUUGCAGCUGACCCAAAAGCUGACUUUUGCUAUGCUUUGUAUCCCUAGGAAAACAAAAAAUGCAGUGAUACUUGUUAAAAAUUGCAUAAUAUAUGUUUCAAGCAUUUGGCUUAGCAGAAAUGAGAACUAGAACAAACGUCAUGCAAAUAUAUAAAGGCUUGAUAUAGUCUCUUUUUGAAGACCAGUAAUAAAUUUUUUUUACUGUCACUUUAAAUGAAUUUGAUCAUUUCUGCAGUAUAACAGACAUGCACUAUUCUGAAACCUUGUAUUUAGCUUAAUAAUAUUGCCUGAAGAGUAGUUGCAUUAUAAUAUUAGACCUGAAUCAUUGCUCUUUAGAACAAUGACUUAAUUCCCCAUUUCUGUAUUUUUUCUUUUGUUUUGAAGUUAUAUUGUAUGUUUUCUGUUUUGCUUUAUGAGCAGUUCCUAUUAUGUACUGUCAAGUAAACAAAAAAAAAUGGCCUC
ensembl:lncRNA